UACGAAGGGGGCUAGCGUUGCUCGGAAUCACUGGGCGUAAAGGGUGCGUAGGCGGGUUGGUAAGUCCGUGGUGAAAUCUCCAAGCUUAACUUGGAAACUGCCGUGGAUACUAUCAAUCUUGAAUAUCGUGGAGGUAAGCGGAAUAUGGUCAUGUAGCGGUGAAAUGCUUAGAUAUGACAUAGAACACCAAUUGCGUAGGCAGCUUACUACACGAUCAUUGACGCUGAGGCACGAAAGCGUGGGGAGCAAACAGG
rnacentral:rRNA from 1 species